AUGAGUUGUGUAUCCGGCAAGCCGGCUGCCGGUCGGGGUUCCACAAACGAAACAAGUGGGAGCGGCCGCAUUGAGACUGAGGGAGACGCGCACAUGCCAUUAUCACACAUGCUAGAUCCCCCGUGUAGAAGUCUUGAAUUCUUUGAACACGAGGGAGAUUGGACGGGCUACAGAUUGGCGAUGUUAAAUACUCUCCCUCUCAAAGAAGUUCGACCUCGACGUGUGUGGCAGUCCCACGAGGAGGAGCGUGGUCUAUGCAUCAUGAAAUCGAGUAGUUGGUUCCCGAGCGAGUUCCCACUUCUGAAGAUGGGCUUCCAUGUGGAGGAGGUGUGGAACGUAAUCUGCAUGGAGAUCCUGAUGAAGUACGAUGACGGCGACAUGGUGCGGGUGGACCUCAUGGAGUUCGGCCGGGCUGGUGGCGGUGGGUGCUGGACGCGGAUGCACAAGUUGUGCGGCUCCAUCUGCCACCUCGACUCCGACCACCGCUUCCUCCCGCUCCUCAUGCUUCCGACCAGGCCGCUGCUAGGUGUUGCUGCUCCAUCCUGCGGCAACCUAGCGAUGCCGUGGCUUGUUAGCUGCUACUUUUUGUUGCUGCUGCGAGGCAAUGUGAUCUAA
rnacentral:rRNA from 1 species